rnacentral:lncRNA from 13 species
AUGGCUGUCCAUGGACCAACUGGUGUGCACUUGCUCCCCUCUGAGGCCCAUAAAAGCCCAGGUUCAGCCAGAGCUGAGCAGACGUCAGGACAACUAGCUGCAGAGAGGAGCUUCCUACUCCAGGGCCUCCUCUGAGCUAUUCUGUCACUCACUAAAGCUCCUCUUCACCUUGCUCACCCUCCACUUGUCCACGUGCCUCAUUCUCCCUGGAUGUGGGACAAGAACUUGGGACCUGUCAAAUGGCAGGACUGAAAGAGCUAUAACACAGAGCUGAAACAUGCUUGUUUGCAACACUGGGGGUGAAGAGAAGGAGAGAAGAGCUGCAGACCUUCAGAGAGCCCAGACCUGGGAGCUCCUGGAGUCAGGGAUGUGACUCCCUCUUUGGGACCCUGCAGCUCCUGGAGUCUCCAAGCUUCUAGGCACCACCAUGUCCCCCUGGGUUAGCCAUGGAAGCUGCUUGCAUUGCACCUGGUCCAGCUGCAGCCUCACAGAGAGUCAGUACCCAUGCUGGGACCUGGAGCUGCUUGCCCUGCUGCAGCAGCCAGCAUGCCCCACAAUGGACAGGCGCUGGAUGCCCAUGGACCCUGGAUGACAGCUUCCAUGUGAGUCUCAACAAAACUAGCACCAAGGAACAAACAGCCUGGAAUAAAGUUGGUGUGCAAGGUGGAUGAGCCUGAGGCAUUCUUCAACGUGCUAGAUGGUGGUGCGGCUGACUGACAUGGUCAGCUGGAGGAGAAUGAUUGUGUGUUCUGGCCACAGUGUGCAGUGGCCAGACCCUGUGCUCAUUCACUCAUACACCCCUCACCACUGCAUGCCUUGCUUGCCCCUGGCAGGCAUGGGAUCAAGGCUAGAAACGUGAGCCGGGCACAGCCUGCCAGGCCAAAUGGGCAACAUGAGCCCAGUGGGUCCAAGCAAAACUCAAGCAAAAGACACCAGCAGCCACAGAGGUUUCUGGCCAGAAAAACAACAAGGAUCCUGUAACACUUUUAGGGGCUCAUCCAGGAUCUGCAGACAGAAUCAAGGAAGCUUUUCUUUUGAGCUAUUUGUCACCUUUGACAAUAGUGAGGAUGAACCAACCAGUGCUUUCCGACUGCAGGGAGUGGGCAGAAUGAGCCC